AUCGAACGCUGGCGGCAGGCCUAACACAUGCAAGUCGAGCGGCAGCGGGAAAGUAGCUUGCUACUUUUGCCGGCGAGCGGCGGACGGGUGAGUAAUGCCUGGGAAAUUGCCCAGUCGAGGGGGAUAACAGUUGGAAACGACUGCUAAUACCGCAUGCGCCCUACGGGGGAAAGCAGGGGACCUUCGGGCCUUGCGCGAUUGGAUAUGCCCAGGUGGGAUUAGCUAGUUGGUGAGGUAAUGGCUCACCAAGGCGACGAUCCCUAGCUGGUCUGAGAGGAUGAUCAGCCACACUGGAACUGAGACACGGUCCAGACUCCUACGGGAGGCAGCAGUGGGGAAUAUUGCACAAUGGGGGAAACCCUGAUGCAGCCAUGCCGCGUGUGUGAAGAAGGCCUUCGGGUUGUAAAGCACUUUCAGCGAGGAGGAAAGGUCAGUAGCUAAUAUCUGCUGGCUGUGACGUUACUCGCAGAAGAAGCACCGGCUAACUCCGUGCCAGCCGCCGCAGUAACAC
rnacentral:rRNA from 1 species